rnacentral:piRNA from 1 species
UGAUAUGAUGAAACCUAUUUGCUUGAUGCC